rnacentral:lncRNA from 1 species
UUUUUGAGCAGAUUUAUGUCAAACCCAGGAAAGCCCCAUUGGGCAGGUUUGAAAUGGUUGUUAAGGUACAUUGUUAGUACAUUAAAUCUGGGUCUAGUGUAUGAAAAGAGAUCUGAAAAACUUGCUCUAAAGGGGUAUGUAGACUCUGAUUUUGCUGGUGACAAGGAUAGCAGAAAGUCUACCACAGCGUACUUUUUUACACUAGGUGACAAUUGUAUAACAUGGAAGUCACAGCUGC